UGGCAUAUACAAAGAGAAGCGACCUCGCGAGAGCAAGCGGACCUCAUAAAGUAUGUCGUAGUCCGGAUUGGAGUCUGCAACUCGACUCCAUGAAGUCGGAAUCGCUAGUAAUCGUGGAUCAGAAUGCCACGGUGAAUACGUUCCCGGGCCUUGUACACACCGCCCGUCACACCAUGGGAGUGGGUUGCAAAAGAAGUAGGUAGCUUAACCUUCGGGAGGGCGCUUACCACUUUGUGAUUCAUGACUGGGGUGAAGUCGUAACAAGGUAACCGUAGGGGAACCUGCGGUUGGAUCACCUCCUUA
rnacentral:rRNA from 1 species